rnacentral:rRNA from 1 species
GUGCCGACGGCCGCGGUAAUACGGAGAGGGCUAGCGUUAUUCGGAAUUAUUGGGCGUAAAGGGCGCGUAGGCGGAUUAGUAAGUUAAAAGUGAAAUCCCAAGGCUCAACCUUGGAAUUGCUUUUAAAACUGCUAAUCUAGAGAUUGAAAGAGGAUAGAGGAAUUCCUAGUGUAGAGGUGAAAUUCGUAAAUAUUAGGAGGAACACCAGUGGCGAAGGCGUCUAUCUGGUUCAAAUCUGACGCUGAGGCGCGAAGGCGUGGGGAGCAAACAGGAUUAGAUACCCUGGUAGUCC